rnacentral:lncRNA from 1 species
UUUUUUGUUGUUUGUACCUUUCGAGCUUAUGGGGGCUCGGUUUGGUUGUUGUUUGAUUAUUUUUGUAUGUUUAAAUUCAAGAGCAGGUCAGUACGCUUAUCGUAUUUUUGAUUUCCCUACUUGAUUACUUUCAAUAUAUUAUGAUACAUGUUCAUAUAGUUUAUUGCCUUUCAUACUCAAUACUUUAUUUCGUACUGACGCCUUAUUGCUGGGGGCACUGCAGGUCGACCUGCAAGAUGACUUGAUAGACCUCCUUAGUAGCAUAGUUGAGUUUCAGCAGGUUACUUCCGGAGCUGUCAGAGUUUAGAGGUUUGUUGGCUUUUGUUGUAUAUAGUUUUGGUAGGUCGGAGCCUUGUUCUGACCAAACUUUACUAC